AUUGAACGCUGGCGGCAGGCCUAACACAUGCAAGUCGAGCGGUUGAGGUAGCUUGCUACCGAAGCAGCGGCGGACGGGUGAGUAAUACAUGGGAAUCUGCCUGGUAGUGGGGGACAACGUUUCGAAAGGAACGCUAAUACCGCAUACGCCCUACGGGGGAAAGGGGGGGAUCUUCGGACCUCUCGCUAUCAGAUGAGCCCAUGUCAGAUUAGCUUGUUGGUGAGGUAAAGGCUCACCAAGGCGACGAUCUGUAACUGGUCUGAGAGGAUGAUCAGUCACACUGGAACUGAGACACGGUCCAGACUCCUACGGGAGGCAGCAGUGGGGAAUAUUGGACAAUGGGGGCAACCCUGAUCCAGCCAUGCCGCGUGUGUGAAGAAGGCCUUAGGGUUGUAAAGCACUUUCAGUGGGGAGAAAAGUGAUUCACCUAAUACGUGAGUCAAUUGAUGUUACCCACAGAAGAAGCACCGGCUAACUCCGUGCCAGCCGCCGCCGUAAGAC
rnacentral:rRNA from 1 species